CAUAAUUGUAUUAAUUAUAACUUUUCUUGCCGUGAUUAAUUAUGAUAAGCAUUUCAAAACUCAAACUCAAAAUAAGUCAUGAUGUCUGACGGAAGUAGAAUCGAUAAUUUGACCAUAUAAUUUUUAAACGAGUCUUUUUGGGUUAACAUUUGAAAUGCACUCUGAAAAUACUUUGAUAAACAAUUCAUCCAGUUAUGUGUAAUGUAGAAACUUAUUUCUUUCAAUAAUCAUUACCGAAUUCCGGAUAUAUGAUCUUGAAUUAUUUAUUUUGUAUUGUUGUUUUCCUACCCAUCCAGAGUUGGGGGUCAUUUAGAACCAAGCAACACCGAAAAGACUGUCACAAAACUAAAAUCACCAAACAAUUAUAAAGAACUAAAUUGAUUAUAAAUAUGAUCGGAACAUGAAAAUAUGCACUCGUAACUUACAUAACACGUUCAUUGUCAUCGAAUUGGUUUUCAAAAAUGAUAAGUGUGGUAACAACCAAUGGCGUAUAACAAACAUUAAUGAAAGAAGAGUGUAUCGAGUGUUCAUUGAAGUAACUUCUAACUUAAAAUCUGAAAUGUAUUUGUUUAAAAUCUGCACAAUGGAAAUAUGUAACUACAAUGGUCAAAAAGUAGUUUGAUUUUAAAGAAAUUUAUUUUAUUUUUCAAAAGCGUUGUUUCUUGUUUGGCGAAUUUAUAACAGUUUAAAUAACUAACGGUUUUGCUAUGUAAAUACAUACCUGUCGUUAUAUUUUGUUUUAGCGUUAAGGUUUUGUUUUCUUGUUUGCCAAUCCUUUAAUGAUCGCUUAACCUCUCUUACGAAACGUCAGUCUAUACCAUAUUGAGAAGUUCGUAUCAUUUUUGUUGGCAGGAGAACCUUGGAGCUUGCUCAGGAGUUGUAUGUAACGCCAGUAGUGUAUGUGUUACAUUGACACUGGGAGGAUAUGUCUGUAUCGUCACAGCUCCUUGGUGUCCUGCCUAUGUAGGAGGUCGAUGUUACACACUUAGUGAAAACGAGGCUGACUGGAAUCAAGCCAAGUUAUCCUGAGAGAUCAACGGCUUCUCCUCAGCUACAAUGGACACAGCGGAUCUGUUACUGGUAUUGUCAGAUGGCCUACCCAAUGGAACUAGUGUGUUUGUUGGAGGUACAGACAGCAUAACGGAUGGAGAGUGGCUGUUGGAUGACGGAACAAUCAAUAUGAACUUUAUAGGAAUUCCACACGAAUUAAGGAACGGGGACAUCGAAGCUUGUCUGACGAUAGUGGCCAGCUAAUCUUCACAACUGAAGGGCAGUGAUUGUUCGAAUGAGUUUUUAUACUUGUGUCAAUCACCAUUGAUCAAUUAAACUGUCAUAUUAAUUAUGAAGUUAACAAACUGCAUUUUUGAAUGCAACGGGACACCUGUUCUAUUUAACAAGGCCACAUUCAUUUUUGGUCAUGUUUUACCCUCGGUAAGUUGAUUUAGUGUUAGAAUUAUACCUAGUUGUCUGUUUCCUUGUUUUAAAAUGCACAAAAGUAUUACUUUUAGUCUUUUUCGUUUUCUCUUUUGAGGAUACAAUGAAACCUGGAGAAACUGAUACCCGGGUAGUAAACUCGACAGAGAAUCUUUGUCACCUUCCAAUUAUUUCACAGAAAAAAAAUCCUUCUUACUUCAAAUUUCGAGUGAAAUCGCUAAUAUCAGAAUAAAAUACGAUUUUUAUAGUAAACUAGAAGUAAGGUUGAUAGAAAACAUGAUGGUCGCCGACAAUUACAUUUCAACAUUGUUUUGCUGCACGUUUCUCGGUAUGAAAUUUAAGUGUCAAUGCCUAAACUUAUUAAAUGAAAUAAACGGUCAAGGAAAUGUCCAUUUUUAUGUCCAGCUAUUAGCAAUAAAAGGUAUAAUAGUAGCAAAUGUAAUAAUUAUUGAUAAAUUUCAAUUUUGAGUAUCGAAAUGUCAGCCCGAGUGCGCGUGAGUAUUUACUCUCAUCUAGACAUGUACUCGACACUCGACGCGCCUGAUAACCUUUGACCUUUAACGUAUAGUAGUUACCCUUUUAUUAUGUGUUCACGUAAAUUGAGCAACACAAGUUAUACUAAAUGGAAGCAGAACAUAGUAAGUAAAAAAAAAUCAAUCAGGAAAUCCAAAAUAUCAAGUUACAGAUUGUUUCCAGAUUAAAAGCAUAUUAUUGCUGACCAUAAAACGAGAAAAGGGAGAAUUUACACGUUUAUCGAGAGAAUAAAAAUCUUUAUGUACAGACAAGAGAGGGACUUUUAAACUGCUGGGUUUAGAAUAACGUAUCCAAGGCCUCUAUUUAUGCAUAAAAUUAUAGUUAAUAUAAUGCACAUAUAAAACUAAUGUUAAAACUAAAGUAGGGAGUUGUCGAAAAAGGAUAAGUUGUGCGUAAAAAUAAGGAACUGCGCUAUUGAGUCUGGAGGAAUAUCCUGUUCCAAGUUCCUCCAGCUCUUUAGCUGUCACGUGGUUUAAGUUUUUGUACAUUAUUCGCCAUUUACUUGUAAGUUUAGGACCAAUUAAAACAACAAUUAGUGAAAAAAUGUUAUCUUUGUUUUAUGUUCAGUGUCUUCUGAUGAACAGUAUUUUCAAAAAUUAACCCUUCAGUGCAGGGUUCCUUUUACAGAGUCCGUAUCUUAUAAGAACUGGACACCUUUUUUCAUUUUUGUUUUAAUUGAAAGGCAAAAAAAUCAACAGUUCCCUUUUAAAACCCCCCCGGAAAAUUGCAAAAAAGUGCUGGAAAAGAGCUUUUGGUAUGAAAAAAAUCUGCACGAACAAUGAACACCAAUCAAAAGCGACGUUACAUAGGCGACAUCAUUGUUUACGCUUUAGAUUGAUAACAUAUUUUAUCCAAUGGAAAUGCUUGUUACAAGCAAGAUUAAGUAUUCAUUAUUAAAGUGAUGGUAAAUCAAUAUCACAUCUAAAUAUUAUAUAUGCCAGUUUCAUUGACUUAUGUGGCUUAUCACCUCUAGGCGUUAUACCUUCAACAUUAGUAUUGAUUAACGUUUAACGUCUAGGACACUACUGACCCCAAACAACGCAACGUAGAUAGAGAUAAGUAUUGUGUCAUUGGAGGAUACCACACCUCGUUAUCAGAAGAAAUGUUGUAUUAAGGCCAUGUCGUGAUAAUUAACAAAUAAUUAGAAAUAAUUGAACGUGAUUUUUGCAUUGGGAGAUGUAAUCCAUAAUUAUGUAGGUAAACGAGAAAAAAUAACUCUGCAUGUUUACUUUGAAAUAUAACAUCUCAAUAUGUACGUAUUAUAUAAGCUAAUUAUUACUGCUAUCGUGAUCGAGUACGUGGGUUCGGAGGAGUGUCGUUCUCUCCCGAGUGACGGAGAAGACGGAGUUUCACUCGACCCUUCAUCAGUGUAUCGACAACUGAGCCCCUCAGGAUACGGUCAGUGUAUCCGGGAAUGUGGACGAUACACGGAGUGUGGGAGUGUAUCGUACGACAGGGAUACCCUUACGUGUACAUUACUCAGGGAUACAACUGAUAUUUCAUCACAGACAACAAUAAUGGCGAACCUUGGAGCUUGUUCAGGAGUUGUCUGUAACGCGGGAAGCGCGUGUGUUACACUGACACAGGGAGGUUAUAUGUGUAUCGUCACGGAUCCUUGGUGUCCGACCUAUAUAGGAGAUCGCUGUUUUACACUAAGUGAGAAUGUGGUCCAGGUGGGAUGUUGCCAAGCUUGGCUGCGAGACGAAUGGCUUUUCCCUAGCUCGAGUAGACACAGCCGAUCUACUAACGACGUUGGCAAGUGGUCUACCGAAAGGGUCUAGGGUGUUCGUUGGAGGUGACGACAGGGAAACUGAAGGACAGUGGCUGUGGACGGACGGAAACAUUCCUAUCAAUUUUACAGGAAUCCCUCACUCCCUCAAUUAUAAUCGGCAACACCAGGACUGUCUCAUGAUCACAGUCGAUGAUACACCGCGGCUGGAGGACACCAAUUGUCCUAACGAGUUCCUGUAUAUUUGUCAAUCGCCACCAAUCGAUUAGGAUUUUUACUGUGACAUCAUCGUUGAAAAUAAAUCUAAUCUGCAUAUCAUGUUAUAUGAGUAUACUAAUAGGUUAUCUUACCCGUGUCAAUCACCACUGAACAAUCAUAUUUUGUUCAAUUUGAGAAUGCAGGAUUUGAUUUACUUUGACGUUAUAAUUGCGAUAAAUGCAUUCUUUAAAGUAUAUGAAAUGUGAGUCGUAAAUAGGUGAAUAUUUAUAAAUUUCAAAUCUCUAACAAAUGAAUUUCCGUUUGUAUGGUGCUUUAGCAUAUUGCUGUCAAUUACGAAUUUCCUUAAACCAAAACCGUUGUUUUUUCUUUGAAAUAAACACUUCGCCGUCAACUAUUUCACAUUGAGUUUUUGUCAGCGACUCAUUGGCUGAAGAUGUACUUGUUGGGCGUCUUCGGUAAUAUAUAUGGUUCAGUGAGGUAACACUAUAAAUUGGCGAAAGUCCCGGAAAUACCGCAGCCUCCCAAAACACACAUACAAUCACAAGUCACCAAACGUACAUUGCACGCACGGGAGACCGUCCUUAAAUGAUCCAAGCUGUAGGACGUUAAACAAAAUAAACCAAACCAAACCAAUACAAUUAAAAAAAAGAGAUUGCUUUCUGUUUGUUAUCUGAUGAAGUGGGUUAUCUGACAAAAUAUUUCCGAGGGAAACAGCAAUCUGCAGGUAUUCUUAUCAAAUCCAAUGUUUAACGUUUGUGUUUCCCUUGUGUACUAUGUACAUUGUUUUGUACAGUUGCCUACAUUGUUGUUCACGUCCGAAAUCAAUCAAUUUGCGUGGACAUAUCACGUAAAAACAGUUAUCAACACUUUCACGUGUCAAGGUACUAGAGAUGUACUAGAGAGCUAAACUCGUACAACCCAAAUUCCCGUCAUAGUGACGGGCAAUGCACCUUAGCGGUCUAUCUGCAGACUUUUAAUUAUAAAACCAUUAUAUCAGGUUGUGCAGGCAUUAUAACGGAACGGGCAAUAUACAGGUCAUUACGGUGCGUCUUAAACUGUUAUCGCGCAAUUUCCCAUCCGAUAUAAUUGUGUAAGUGACUCCUCUAAGUAUCAAUGCACUAUCAAGCGAAAUACUACAAGUUUUGUCUUGUUAUGUGAAUUAAUUCUGCUGGUUUGGUUUUGACCCUAGCUGAUUAAUUCCUAGUUAUCCAUCUUCAUUUCAUUAACAAUCACAGAAUCCACAACACCAAUUGCUCAAAAUUAAUUCUUUUUAAUUAUUGUUGUGGUGGAUAAUUCAAUAUCUAAUCCAUGAAAUACAUAUGUAUGUAUCAAUGAGUUAAUGACGAUUAUCACCUUUUGGCAUGAUAACUACCACGUAAAUUGAUUUUCAUAAUAAGGUUAGAAUAAUAUUGAGAUGAAACAUGUAUAGAAAGAGAAGGAAUAUGGUAAUUGGAAAAUACGAAAACUCGCUAGGACAAUAACAGAAACCUAUGGUAAUAUAGCUAUGUUAUGAUAAUUCCGAUAGAAAAAGGAAAUGUAUCUGAUCUGUAUCGGACCUUCCGGUGUAAAAAUGGCAACAAUGGAUUUUGCUAUUCCAGCACUGACAGUACCAUGACCACAUGAAGAAUUUGCGACGGAACCUUCGGAAUGUGCAAUAUAAAGGGAAAAUGGUUCGCAGACGUAACAGUUGUGAGGAUGACAUUUGUGUUGAAAGAUACCGAGUGGAAUAUAUGGACAAUUUCCUAUGGACAAUAUUUCCGCUUUUAAUGGCUUUCAGAAUAUUAUCGAACAUUUACAUUGCAGAGAAGACUGCUUUUAUGAAUUGAAACCAAACUAGCUGUUGGCAAUAGUGUAUUUUGAAUGCCACACGAUAACUCUUAAUGAAAAUAUUGUUAUGUAUACAUCAAAUGAUGUUUAGGACUAUUCUGUUGUGGACAACAAUGGCAAGAUACAUACCUUAUAUAUCUAAUAAUAUAUUGUCUUAUGAAACGUUAUUAAAAUAUUUCAGAAAUGGUGUUCAUGUAAAAAUUUUAAUUGGACAGUAUGUAAUUCGUUGCGCAGGUAUUUUCAGAUGAGCAGAAUCAAUUGCGUAUUUUAAAUGUGAUCUAUUAUUUCACACUAUGUACGUAUUAUAUAAGCUAAUUAUUACUGUUAUCGUGAUCGAGUACGUGGGUUCGGAGGAGUGUCGUUCCCUCCCGAGUGACGGAGAAGACGGAGUUUCACUCGACCCUUCAUCAGUGUAUCGACAACUGAGUCCCUCAGGAUACGGUCAGUGUAUCCGGGAAUGUGGACGAUACACAGAGUGUGGGAGUGUAUCGUACGACAGGGAUACCCUUACGUGUACAA